rnacentral:rRNA from 1 species
UAGGGAAUAUUGCAAAAUGGGCGAAAGCCCGAUGCAGCAACGCCGCGUGGGCGAUGAAGGCCUUCGGGUCGUAAAGCCCUUUUUGAGGGGAUGAGGAAGGACAGUACCCUCAGAAUAAGCCUCGGCUAACUACGUGCCAGCAGCCGCGGUAAAACGUAGGAGGCGAGCGUUAUCCGGAUUUACUGGGCGUAAAGCGCGUGCAGGCGGAUUGGAGAGUUGGAUGUGAAAGCUCCCGGCUUAACUGGGAGAGGUCGUUCAAUACGUCCAGUCUUGAGUGCAGUAGAGUGAAGUGGAAUUUCGGGUGUAGUGGUGAAAUGCGUAGAUAUCCGGAGGAACACCAGUGGCGAAAGCGGCUUCCUGGACUGUAACUGACGCUCAGACGCGAAAGCUAGGGUAGCAAACG